GCAUAUCAAUAAGCGGAGGAAAAGAAACCAACAGGGAUUGCCUCAGUAACGGCGAGUGAAGCGGCAACAGCUCAAAUUUGAAAUCUGGCCCCCAGGGUCCGAGUUGUAAUUUGUAGAGGAUGCUUUUGGUGAGGUGCCUUCCGAGUUCCCUGGAACGGGACGCCAUAGAGGGUGAGAGCCCCGUCUGGUUGGAUACCGAGCCUCUGUAAAGCUCCUUCGACGAGUCGAGUAGUUUGGGAAUGCUGCUCUAAAUGGGAGGUAUAUGUCUUCUAAAGCUAAAUAUUGGCCAGAGACCGAUAGCGCACAAGUAGAGUGAUCGAAAGAUGAAAAGCACUUUGAAAAGAGGGUUAAAAAGUACGUGAAAUUGUUGAAAGGGAAGCGCUCAUGACCAGACUUGGGCUUGGCGAAUCAUCCAGCGUUCUCGCUGGUGCACUUCGCCUCGUUCAGGCCAGCAUCAGUUCGUCCCGGGGGAUAAAAGCUUUGGGAACGUGGCUGCUUCGGCAGUGUUAUAGCCCGCUGCAUAAUACCCUGGGGUGGACUGAGGUUCGCGCUCCGCAAGGAUGCUGGCGUAAUGGUCAUCAGCGACCCGUCUUGAAACACGGACCAAGGAGUCGUCUUCGUAUGCGAGUGUUCGGGUGUCAAACCCCUACGCGUAAUGAAAGUGAACGCAGGUGAGAGCUUCGGCGCAUCAUCGACCGAUCCUGAUGUUCUCGGAUGGAUUUGAGUAAGAGCAUACGGGGCCGGACCCGAAAGAAGGUGAACUAUGCCUGUAUAGGGUGAAGCCAGAGGAAACUCUGGUGGAGGCUCGCAGCGGUUCUGACGUGCAAAUCGAUCGUCAAAUAUGGGCAUGGGGGCGAAAGACUAAUCGA
rnacentral:rRNA from 1 species